rnacentral:lncRNA from 1 species
GCUUUCCCAAGAGUUUAUUCACAGAUUAUAGAUCAGAGCUUCAUGCCUGGCUUCUAGACGAAAUAAAAGGGAGACUGGGAAGUGGGCUACAGUGAGGGGCAUGCUGUGUUCACAGUUGGAGGCCAUUCUUGUUCCUCUCCAUGUCAUGGAAGGGGAGAAAGGGAAGUGUUUUCUCCCUGUGGCCCUGUUGGAACAUUGAGAAAAUCACUUGUCAACAUCAGAGUGUUCUGCAAGAAGCAGAGACUGGCACCUCCAUCCUCAGCUGAGUUCUUGCUGACUACUGGGAUCUGUAAGUCUCUGGUGCCAAGACAUGAAGUAGCCCGGCGAUGGAGUUCAUGGGGAGCUUGACCUGCAUCGCUUGGGGCUUGGUGGCAUUCAACACUAAGGCUACUGACAAUGCACUGUCUCAAGAUUGCUGAAGGUCACAGUGUUCUGGAGGAGGCUGUAUUAGGAGGAUCUGAAGGAUGAUAAAUAUGUGCCAGGGAAGAUGGGGGUAUCACUCCUCCCUUCCCAGUUCUACAAAAGCACAGGACAGUGCAGAAGAGAAACUCAGAACUGAACACACAAAUGGGGUAUCCAACUAGAAGAAGGAGUUGGGGUGUGUAUGCUCUGGUCAGGC